rnacentral:lncRNA from 1 species
UCUAGCCUUCUUUGUAAAUCCCACCAGCCAUCAUUUUUGACGAUGCAACCCAGAAGUCUUGAACUCUUUCAGAGAGGACCCCCGUUCUCUGCGACUUUCAUGUGCUGUUCCCACUGUCCGUAUAAAGAUGGCCAAAGUUUAUAUCUUGUUGGCCCUCUUGCUAAUUUGGUCUGCCCCCAAAUUUAAAUUUAUUUAUUUAUUUUUGUCUUUUUUGUCUUUCUAGGGCCGUACCAGUGGCAUAUGGAGGUUCCCACGCUAGGAGUCGAAUCAGAGCUACAGCUGCUGGCCUACACCACAGCCACAGCAACACCAGAUCCGAGCCACAUCUGCAACCUACACCACAGCUCACGGCCAUGCCAGAUCCCCAACCCACUGAGGCUAGGGAUCGAACCCGCAACCUCACGGUUACUAGUUGGAUUCAUUUCUGCUGUGCCACAAAGGCAACUCCUGCCCCCAAAUUUUAAUUUAUUAAACACACCAACAAUUGAAUGAGUGUAACAUACUUAGAUUAUACCCAGUCAACGCUUGGGUCUAGAAAGGAGGUAGGUGCCAUUUCUUGAAUAGUCAGCUUUCUGCAUGCUUUCUUAAGCCUCUGUUGUGGUUCUUCUGGUGAUGAUUCUAUUUCUCUGCUUCUCUCUCUCUGUCUUUUUUUUUCCUUUGGCCAGGCUCAUGGCAUGUGGAAGUUCCCAGACCAGGGAUUGAACCCAUGCCUCAGUAGUGACCUGAGCUACAGCAGUGACAACACUGCACUGGAUCCUUAACUACUAGGCCACUAGGAAACACCCGUAUUUCUCAUAAUAGGAUUAUUUCCCAUAUUUGAUUUGUGUUUGACACUACAUGAAGUAGUGACUCUUUCUUUUAAUAAUACCCAGUAAACAAACUGUAAAAACCUGAAAGAGUGAUUGGCUUUAGUUGGAGAAAUACUAAGUCCAGACCAUGGCUUCUCAUUGUCUAGACACCUUGCAGAAGUAGUAAGAAGAUCCCAAGAUUUUUGUGGGUAGGGAUUAUUUCUUUCUCACACCCUCUUGGAUGAAAUCCUAAUGAAAGAAUAUUCCAGGAGUUCCCGCUGUGGUGCAGCAGAAACGAAUCUGACUAGGAACCAUGAGGUUGUGGAUUCAAUCCCUGGCCUUGCUCAGUGGGUUAAAGAUCCGGCAUUGCCGUGAGCUGUAGUAUAGGUUGCAGACUCGACUCUGAUCCUGCAUUGCUGUGACUGUGGUGUAGGUUGGCAGCUGUAGCUCUGAUUAGACCCCUAGCCUGGGAACCUCCAAAUGCCAUUGGUGUGGCCCUAAAAAGCAAAAGCAAAACAAUAUUCUAGGAAGAUCAUUUGGGAGAAUAGCUUUUCUGGUGCUUCUCAGAAGGCUAGCCUGAAUUGGAAAAUGAUUUCACUUUUCUCCCAUCUUUCCUUUUCUGCUCUUCAUUUACAAUAAGAACAUGUCUUCCUUUUGCAGCCAAAAAAACCAACUGUCAGCAGUGACAUUGUGUAAGAAACUCUAGGCUUUUUCUUUUUCCUUGUGUUCUCUGAAGAGAAAAUGAUUACACUGUGGCUUGUCAUUGAUUAACUAAAAUCAUGCAACUAUAGAGAGAAAGUGUAGCACAGAAACCAUAGCAACCUCUACAAAAAUGAUUCCCAUAAUGACACGCUUUCAGAGUGUCCAGGCUUCCAGGUGGUAAUUGCUCAUCAUUUUUGCCUGUGUUGCUGGGUCACCCACAUGAGGUUGGUUGGGAAUCACAUGUGACGGCCAUUGUGAAUGAUGAAGAGGGAGCUCACACUGGCCGCUGAGUUGUAGCAAGAGAAAAAAUUUAUUGUUGAUGCACUGAAUUUGAUGUAUUGUUCAAGGAGGAAUUAUCUAGACUCAUGUUACUACAUCAAAAAUCUAUAUGUACCUUGUCUUAGUCUGUGUGGGCUGCUGUAACAAAAUACCUUAGAAUGGGUGACUUCAACAACAAAUAUUUAUUUUUCACAGUUCCAGAGGCUGGGGAGUCCAAGAUCAAGGCACUGGAAAGAUUUGGUGUCUGGUGACGACCUCCUUCUUGCUGUGUCCUCACGUGGAAAAGGGGGUAAGGAAGCUCUCUUGGGGCUCUUUUAAAAGGGCACUAAUCCCAUUCAGACCUCAUCACCUCUGAAAGUCACCACCUCCAAAUCCCGACACAUUGGGGAUGAGGUUUCGACAUAUGAAUUUGGGAGUAAGCAAACAUUCUAUGUACGGCAUACCUGCAACCAUUAAUCCAUCUUUUAAUGUGACUUGAUCAACUGGAAGUUAGUCUCAUUUCAGGCUCUAAAAAGUUGCUUCCAUUUGGUGAACCACAGAUUGCUCGCUCAUCGGAGACUACUCUUCAGGAGUAGUCAAGAGCAAGAAUAUUGAAAUUUGCCGGUGAUAUUUCAACAGUUUAUUUUAUAAAGACAUCUGUUUCACUUGCCAACCAUAAAUUCGAAAGAUGAGAGAUUGUAACUCUAGAAAUGAAAAUUUCGAUAGCAGUGAUAUCACCUGGAAACUCGGGGAAAGGCCAGAAAUUAUAACCUUUCUUUAUUUUUUUUCACCUUUUGCAAUAAUCUUUCUUACUCUUCUGGCAAAAAAAAUUAAUCCCUGUAUUUAUACAUACAAAGCCAGAAGAGUGCAACACUCUUUCAACACUAUUGCUCUGGUAUUUAAGAGUUUGUUGAUAUACAGUUCAGCCAACUAUCAGAGACAAACAUUGAAAAUAUCUUACAGAUUGUUUUAAAUGCAGCCUUGGUAUUGAUUUAGAAGACUCAAAAGCCAUCGGAACUUUUACCGUGCUACUUAAUCUUGCAUUUUAACAUUGUUCUAAAGAAGACAAUUAUUUAUUUAUUCUUUUUCUUAAAAUCAAACGAGCAGAUAACACUGCAUGUCAAGCAUGUGCUAAAUACUUUGGUGGGCAGAGGGACAACUAAGGUAAAAAUUACCUUUCUUCAAGAAGCCUACAGUCUAGAAAUCCUCAAGUUCCUUCUGGGAGAGAAAUCAGUGGCUGUCUAAAGAUUAUAGGGCAUUUACAGAAGGAGGCUGGCUACAAACUGAAAUGGGUCUAGACACCUUACUUGUGUUUUCUGAAGCUCUUCUUUUUUAUAGGCUGCUCAAGGCUUAUGUGCUGACCCUGUAUAGAGCUACUCUAACACCAGGGGAAAAUAAUAAGCUCCCAUUUGGUUAAGAAAAACAUGCCUUGAUCUAAGGUUUCCAUAAGCUGUGGUUAGAUUGGAAAGAAUGAGGCUUUGGGUCAGGAUUAGAUGAGGAUACAGAGGUAAGAAAAUAAGGAGAGAUUGUAAAGAUACAUCAUAACUUUUAGAAACCAUGAAUUUGGGUCAUUUCCGUGUAAUUUGUAUUUAUCUAUGUUUCCAUACGUUCAAGUCAUCUUCCUCAGUGAGACUUUACUUUCUGGGUAGACAAACUGUAUCUUAACACUCCUUUUCUAAAUCCCAUAGUACAUCAGGGAGCUUCAUAAAUAUUUAUUGACUUGACUCCCAUAAUUUAAAUUAUAAUGUAAAUGAAUGGAACAAUCAGAAACAUAUUGAGUGCAACCUAUGACUUCAGAAGUUUGUCAUAACUUACUCUUUUGAGAUUUUAUAUCAGCUUCAAGCUUGAAGUUGGGUUUUAGUCAUCACUUAAUUCCACUUUGGGGUUAUGUAAGGCUAUUUCUUGAAGCUAAAUAUAAUGAUGAAUACAUAAGUUUGCAUUUCACAAUCUCCUUUUAAAGAACUCAUUUAGCUUAUCUCUCAGAAACAGGUUUGAUUAAUUUAAAAUAUGCCCUUGGAUAUUGACUUUUCAGAAUGAAAGUCUGGUGCAGCUCAUAAGCUGUGUACUGAUUAGAGAAAAAUCAAAAACAAACUGCAGUCAGCAGAAUCCCUGCCACUUUCCAAGGCCUUGACCUCUAAUGCCUUGCAGUUAAUGCCUAAUUCUUUAUCAUCGUUAAUUGUUUUUAACAUGAUCAGUAAAGUGUGCAGGAUGGUCAAAAGGAGAUACAUUUAUAAGUUGUUAUAUGAAAGGUUUUUCUGCAAACAAAUAUAUCAUGAGGCAAGAAUGCAUGUAGGGAAUCACAUAGCUAAUCUUUUCCUUUGAGGUAAGCAGUCUUGGUUGGGGAUGGAGGGAUAAAGUGUUUAGUUAAUACUCACUGGCUGGCAGAUUAUUAUGGUUGAAGUCAUAACAGGGAUGAUUUUGCUUAUAUAAGUAAAUGUAUUAUCUGUACUACUAGAGGCAAAAAGGCAUGGAAAAUGAAAAAAUUACUGUCAAGUUAUGUUGAAAUGCAACUAGAUCUAUAGAGAGGAUUUUGAAAGAGAUGAUGAGUCAGACUUUAUUUAAAGGGCCUUUUGCAUGGGUUUACUUCAUGACGGUGAAAAAUACUUUUUUCCAUAUCUACCCUGUCUGUAAUGUGCAAAGAACUGAUUUGGUAGUUGCUCUUUCUUGGGCCUUAUGGGUAUAACAGAAGUCUGAAUAGCAAUUCCAAAUUAUUUAGCUCACGUACCUACCAUUUUUGUUUACCUGACUGGACAUUUCAUCAACCGGACCCUGCUCUCCAGAGAGCAAGUGUUAGAGUCUAAAUCAGUCCAUCUAUACUGGUUUAAAACAUGGAUGAAUGUCAACCCAGUCUGGACUUUAUUCCUGGCUCUGCCACCUGCUUGCUUUGCGUCAUCGUACAAGUUACUUAACCUCUACAAAGUCAAGAGUAAGCACUUAGUAAGUGGUAGUUAUUGCAUGAUUUUAUUUUUUUUAGUGAUUUUUAUUUUUUCCAUUAUAGCUGGUGUAUUGCAUGAUUUUAUUAACGUGGUGAAAUGUUGAAGUUUUAGUAUGGUGUGGAGGUGUUGAGAGGAUGGGGUGGUGAAGCAGGGAAAAGGAGGGAGGUCUUGCUCUAGGUAAGAGGUAUUGUGGUUUAGUGUGAUAGUUCUUAAAUAGCAGUCCCUGGUUCCGUUACAUCAGAGACACUUGAAGAUUUUUUUUUUAAUGUAGAUUUCCUGUGCCUUCACUCUUUCCGCAGAACUGCUUUCUCCACCCACCAACUUACAAAUGGAAAAAACGAUAUCCCAGCUUCGAUCUUUUGUCAUUUUUCAAUAUUAGUUUUUAUUAUUAUUUAACCAGUUGGGAUUUAAAAAAAAUGUUUGCAGAUAUAACUCCAGGG